GUGGGGAAUCUUCCGCAAUGGACGAAAGUCUGACGGAGCGACGCCGCGUGAGUGAAGAAGGCCUUCGGGUCGUAAAGCUCUGUCAUCAGGGACGAAUGGCCGGUGGAGUGGAAAGCCACCGGAUUGACGGUACCUGAGAAGGAAGCCACGGCUAACUACGUGCCAGCAGCCGCGGUAAUACGUAGGUGGCAAGCGUUGUCCGGAAUUAUUGGGCGUAAAGCGCGCGCAGGUGGGAUCUUAAGUCCAUUUUGAAAGUUCGGAGCUCAACUCCGUGAUGGGAUGGAAACUGGGAUUCUUGAGUACCGGAGAGGAAAGCGGAAUUCCCCGUGUAGCGGUGAAAUGCGUAGAUAUGGGGAGGAACACCAGUGGCGAAGGCGGCUUUCUGGACGGUGUCUGACACUGAGGCGCGAAAGCCAGGGGAGCGAACGGGAUUAGAUACCCUUGUAGCC
rnacentral:rRNA from 1 species